rnacentral:rRNA from 1 species
GACGAACGCUGGCGGCGUGCCUAAUACAUGCAAGUAGAACGCUGAAGGAGGAGCUUGCUUCUCUGGAUGAGUUGCGAACGGGUGAGUAACGCGUAGGUAACCUGCCUGGUAGCGGGGGAUAACUAUUGGAAACGAUAGCUAAUACCGCAUAAUAGUAGAUGUCGCAUGACAUUUGCUUAAAAGGUGCAAUUGCAUCACUACCAGAUGGACCUGCGUUGUAUUAGCUAGUUGGUGAGGUAACGGCUCACCAAGGCAACGAUACAUAGCCGACCUGAGAGGGUGAUCGGCCACACUGGGACUGAGGCACGGCCCAGACUCCUACGGGAGGCAGCAGUAGGGAAUCUUCGGCAAUGGACGGAAGUCUGACCGAGCAACGCCGCGUGAGUGAAGAAGGUUUUCGGAUCGUAAAGCUCUGUUGUAAGAGAAGAACGAGUGUGAGAGUGGAAAGUUCACACUGUGACGGUAUCUUACCAGAAAGGGACGGCUAACUACGUG